rnacentral:rRNA from 1 species
UGCAGUCGACGGCAGCACAGAGGAGCUUGCUCCUUGGGUGGCGAGUGGCGGACGGGUGAGGAAUACAUCGGAAUCUACUCUGUCGUGGGGGAUAACGUAGGGAAACUUACGCUAAUACCGCAUACGACCUACGGGUGAAAGCAGGGGAUCUUCGGACCUUGCGCGAUUGAAUGAGCCGAUGUCGGAUUAGCUUGUUGGCGGGGUAAAGGCCCACCAAGGCGACGAUCCGUAGCUGGUCUGAGAGGAUGAUCAGCCACACUGGAACUGAGACACGGUCCAGACUCCUACGGGAGGCAGCAGUGGGGAAUAUUGGACAAUGGGCGCAAGCCUGAUCCAGCCAUACCGCGUGGGUGAAGAAGGCCUUCGGGUUGUAAAGCCCUUUUGUUGGGAAAGAAAUCCAGCUGGCUAAUAUCUGGUUGGGAUGACUGUACCCAAAGAAUAAGCACCGGCUAACUUCGUGCCAGCAGCCGCGGUAAUACUAAGGGUGCAAGCGUUACUCGGAAUUACUGGGCGUAAAGUGUGCGUAGGUGGUUAUUUAAGUCCRUUGUGAAAGCCCUGUGCUCAACCUGGGAACUGCAGUGGAUACUGGAUGACUAGAAUGUGGUAGAGGGUAGCGGAAC